AGAGCCUCUCCUCCAGCCCCUGCGAGCCAAGGCCCUCAGAAAGGCAGCACUAGAGCCCCGGGACCAGUCAGAGUGCUGUUGCGUGGAAGAAGUACGUGUGACCUGCUGCCCCAUCCCCUCAGAAGGGUCCUGGAUGCAGUGCAGAGCUCAGCGCUCCGUUUCAAGCAGAGUGGCCUUGGCUGGGUCAGGACAGACACUGCACAGCGAGACUGUGACUCCUUCAGCCACGCUUCUGCAGUCAAUGCAGUGGCCCAGCUGUGCUCCUGCCCAGCUGCUUUGCAGCCUCUGGCUGGACAAAAUGUGCCCACUGCUUCUGUUGCACUAGAGAUUAUAGGAGCUCUGUUCACUGUGGGCUGCCUGGUGAUAUGGUCCUUUUCUUUGCUGGUAAUGCAGGUGUCCCCGUCUUAACUGGAUUACUGUAUGGGGGACAGAUGCAAUGUGGCUUCUAGAGAAGUAAGCGUGAAAAACCUCUGCUCUAUUUUCCUCAGCCUCUGCUACUCUUAAAACAAUCCUGGGGCCUGUGCUGGGCUAUACCAAAGUGCCUUUUUCCUUCCCAGGCACCUGCUGAGAAGCAGUAGAUCGUGGCACAUGACUCUGUGGUCAUGGGUGACACAGGUUGGCUGGCAGAGCUGUAAUAAGUAUCUGGGGGGUUUGAACAAGUGGUGAGUUCUGUCCCGUGGGGCCUGACUCACAACACCCAACUGCACCAAGCCACCUGCAUGGCUUGGGGGAAAGGACACAGCUCACCACCCCUGCCUUCAGUGCCCUGCAUGUCCUGGGGCUACACUGUAAUCUGGCAGGUGCUGAGACCAAAAUGAGCAGCUGUGGGAGGAGACAAAACAAAGCAAGGUGCUGGAUGUGCCCCUUUUGUGCUGGCUUCCUCGCUGCUGCGCAGGGUGGCUCAGCACUGCUGGCAGGCUGUGGCAGGGCAGACGCCGCCGCUCUGGGCUCUUCCGGAGUUCGGUGCUGCUGUUGGCUGGCUGAUGGUUGGGAAUGCCAUGGUGUCCCCUGCUACUCCAUGGGCUGGUCCCACAGGCCCUCUGCUAAGGGCACGGCAUGUGCCAGACUGGGGAUCGGCUGGGAGCUCCGCUCGGCUGUGGGGCUCUGGUCCCCAAUGACCAUCGUGGCAUGAAAUAUCUCAGUGCCUAAAGAUCAGCGGCAUGUGAGCAAGAACCUCCCCUGCCACCAGCCGCUGGGAUAGGGCGCUUUCGGAGAGGAGGGUGCUGCCUGUGUGUCUCUGGGUGUGACUCUUAAAGCUGUUGUUGUGUAAAGGCUCUGUGUACUGAUGCUGUUCUCUUGGGAGAGACCACUGAAUUUCUGACUGUCGGCUUGUUUCCUGUGCUCUGCCUGUGUUUCACACGUUGCUUCGUCCUCCGUGUUUGCUUUCCAGCACUUUGUAGUGACUGUUUCUCAUCUGCCGUGAGAACAUGAUGGAGAGGAAAUAAAAGGCUGUGUUCUCGUG